GGAAUAAAUAUUUUCUCUUUCUUUUUAGAACGGAGACCUAUGUUAUGUAUUAAGCCUUUUUCCAUUACCAACUGGAAUCUAAUUUGAUUAAUUAAGAGAGAUUUUUGGAACGGAAUAGAUGAUCUCCAGUUUCUGGCAAUUAUGAUUUUUACAACCACUAAACAGUGGGUGGCUAUGGAACAAUCUUUUAGAGAUUUAAAAUUCCAAUU